AUGAUUCUGUGGCCUUGUAAAUUUCACAGUUAUAAAAAAGUUAUGUUACCUUAAUAAAAUCUCUAAAAGUCACAUACAUGAUUGUUUGAGUUAGACAAAUCAAAAUAAAUGCCUAAAAAAACAAUUAUUCAUUUUGUCUUAAAUUUACACUAUAAUUUAAGUUUACUUCACUAGUAAAAAUCAGUAUUUGACUAACUGAAUUAUAUUUUUAACAUGCACUUAAUAUUUUUUGAUACAUUUCAAUCAAAAUAUCUGUUAAUGGAGUAAUUGUACUGAUUAGUUUCAAGAACUACAAUUAUAAAUUAUUCCAACUCAAUAUUCUUUAUUUUUAACAACAAAAACUUAAAUAAUUGAGUAAAUUGCCCUGUGCAAGUGCUCAUGGGAAGUCUGGUGUAACAUCAGAGACAAGAAGGCUGUGAGGAUGUGAGAAUGGACAUGAAGCACCUGGAACAUUCUGGAACAUUCCUUACAAAUCCUGGUGAGUAAACAGCUAACACAAGUUACUGUAAUAAUGACUCUGUCUGCCUGCACACACAACUUUAUAGGGUGUGAGUUACUGUUCUGAAUCCUGUCACAGCCGAGCUCCAGAGCUAACGAUAGCUAGCAACAGGCCAGUCCUGGGGUUCAUAGUGAUUUAGCUUGUUUGUUCCAACCACCAAACUGCUCAGCUAAAGCGCGUUUAAUACAGACACUUAAACUCUGGUGUAAAAGGAGAGAUUUAACACCGAGCAGCAGCGCGUGCAUGUCCGGGUUUUUUCCGGGUUUCUCUGUGUAACCGGCGGCGGUUGUGCCGCAAUAUUUGAAUUUCUCCCGCCAAAUGCGGUGAUUUUGCGCAGCCAACCGCCACUGUGGCGAGGAUAUAAAACUAGCAUGUUCAAAUAAUUACCGCAUGUGUAACAUUACACACUGAACCGCGAGUCUGCUCGGUCACUCCGACACUUUAAGGAAGAAACUCAGAACAAAUCCGGUUUAAACAGCAGAAAUGAGCACCAACACCACUAAUGAAGAGAAGUUGAAUAGAGAUAAAACAGGAGGUGCCAGUUUAUGGGAUGGCGGUGUAAACUGUGUGCAUUUGUCGUAUCAUCAAAAGGAAUUUCGAUCAUUACCGAGUGAAGCAUGGUACUGUUGGUCAUGGAUAUUUAGUGUCCUGUCUUCAUUUAGACUGUCAUUGCUUCUUUAAGACCUGAGAAGGUCUGCACACACAUUUGUAUGGAUCCCACAGUUUGCAGGAAACUGAAGUGUGAAGGUGUACAAUCUUUCAGAUGUAAAAUGUGACUUAUUAGAUUCUAAUACAAAAGUCUACUUUCCAUGUGUUAACUGUAUAAUACUUGUGGCAGGAGUAUUGUUUCUGAAACUGUUUACUAAUAACAUAAAUUCAGCUCUUUGUUUAUGAUCUUGUUACAUGUCAUUUGCAAAGUAAACCAGGUUGAGUUUAGACUUCAUGUCUUGUCAAAUUUGGCAAAUAAAUGUUUAAUUAAAAUGAAAAUGUGUGUAUUGUUUCUUUCAUUCAGUUAAAAUAUUUAGUAAAUGUAGCACAUUUGUUUAUUAAAUAAUAGUAUAAUUUUCAGUAUCUUCUACCUUCCAUU